rnacentral:tRNA from 1 species
GUGGUAAUGAUGGAAUCGGUAGACAUAAAACACUUAAAAUGUUUGGGCAUUAGCCUUGAAGGUUCAAAUCCUUUUUACCAUA